rnacentral:rRNA from 1 species
CGGGUGAGUAAUGUAUGGGGAUCUGCCUGAUGGCGGGGGAUAACUACUGGAAACGGUAGCUAAUACCGCAUAAUAUCUGCGGACCAAAGCGGGGGACCUCCGGGCCUCGCGCCAUCAGAUGAACCCAUAUGGGAUUAGCUAGUAGGUAAGGUAACGGCUUACCUAGGCGACGAUCCCUAGCUGGUCUGAGAGGAUGAUCAGCCACACUGGGACUGAGACACGGCCCAG